GUUUUAACAUUUGCAGCACUUUGGCCUCCAGAGUUUCUCCUUAGAAGGGUUUUAAACUGUUGACCAAGGACUUCGGUUUCCAUAGGACUUUAAAGGAAAAUCCCCCUCCUGCCAUCCUCUUAUGACACUAGGACGUAUUCAUAACCUGCUUGGUUCAUGGGCUGGGGAAGUACCUAUCAGAUAGUGGAUGUGAAGCAGCCUUGAAGAAUGGAACUUUUAUUAACAUGCGAGGAAGCCAGUGGAGAGAUUUGCUACUCCCACAGAGUGAUAUCCCUUCUUAACCCCUUCCCCUGCUUCAGAACCUCCUUUCCCAAGAACCAGCCCCACUAGGAUCACCGUCAACUCCCUCCCAGUUUACCUUUUCUGGCCCCACGUUAUCUCUGCGGGGCAGGGGUCAUGGGAUGAACCCUGGAUAGAAGUCAGCAGAUGUCAGUAACUGCAGUAAUACAGUGAUAUUGUCUAGUAAUGUGAGCUGAAAGGAAGGAUCCUGAGGUGAGGGAGAGGGAGGGAAUUCCAGGGAAAGGCACUGUUGUGUGGAAUAGCAUGGAUUCAGGGUGGGGUUGUAUGAUGGGAGGUUGGGAACAGGGAGCUGAUAUUAGAGGAGUGCUGGAGCAAGGUCACUGAGGACCUCACAUGUGAAUGGAGUGUCAACACCAGGCCCGGGGCAAUGUUCAGAUGUGCAUGGUUGAAAUCUGACAGCUGAAUGGAACUUGGACAUGCUGCAAUUAGGAUGGCCUGUUGGGACACUGUUGUGGUAUUUCAGCUAAAGGCUAGGGUCUGAACUAGAGCAGUGGUGACACUGAGGAGGAGGGAAUGAAUGGGAAAGGUCUCAGAGGCAGAUGGGAGGGCAUCAGAGGAAAGCUAGAAUGCCUUUGGUGACUGGGUAGAGCAUGUCCUCAUUCAGAAUUGGGAGCACAAGGAGGAGAGGCUGAUAGAGCAGGAGGGCAGAAGAUGAGAAGUUUAGUUUGGUAUGUCUAGAACUUGAGGUGCUUAAGGGAAAUCAUGGUGAUGCUAUGCAUUUGGAUGUCGGCUAGCAGCUAGGGGAGAGGCUAGGACUAGAGAUCUGUGUAUGCGAAGUAGUUAAACUAAUGAGAAAGGAAGAAUUUCAGUUUCAAAUAUUGGGCCUAGGACAGAGCUACUUGAUAGUGCUGAAUGGAGAGGAAGAUGGCCCUCAAAGGAGAUCUAGACCAUUCCCCACUCCCAUACACUACCAUCAUGUUCUGGACCCUGUCUUCCUUGUUACUGACCCCUGAAUUCUUCAUGUAGCCCUGAGUUUUCUGGAGCCCUCACUGUGGAAGUCAAGCUGAGCUCUGUGUGGAUGUGAGGUGGUAGUCCUCUCUCCACCUGGUCACCCUUUCCCCUGGGUUUGGUAGUGUUUUAGUGUCUCAUAUCUUUAGUGAACAGUUUUGAUGUUUGUUAUCUGCCAUUCUUGUCUCAUGAAUCUUAAUAGAGGUUCAGUCAUGAAAGCAAGGCCAGUGUGGGCCAGGUGAGAAAAUGGCCCAGGUGGUCCCUUCCUCCUUGUCUACCUGACUUCCUUUGGAAGAAGCACUCUUUCAGGGGGCUUCAGUGUUCCAGGCUUGCUGUCUACCCA
rnacentral:lncRNA from 1 species